GCUGAAUUGCACACACGACGGUUCGGCAAACAAACGCAUUAUUAACAGAUAUUCUUUUGCAAAACGAUUCGUACAACACCGUGACCCAUAAUGUACGGGCUACACGACGGAACGCAGCGAUUCCACGCAUAACCGUAAAUCCGAUUUCAAUUUUUUCGUUAACCGUUUACAACCGUAGCUGUUUGCCUGUAGGUCAGACAUUACACCCGUCGUUUUUCCGACAAUUUGACAAUCGAAACGGCAACAAUAUUGUUUCGACAUAUCACACCAAUGCACAGAUAGAUAUGCGUAGACGCGUAUAAGUGGUGUUACAGUGCGGAAGUCGAUCGCGGUAAACUCAUGUAGG